rnacentral:lncRNA from 1 species
CUUAAGUCAAGAACCAAAUGAAGCACCAGAGUACAGAUUAUGGAGGUUCCUUGUAAAGAUUAACCCAGGGAAGGAUCGAAAGUGGAGAAGACCAGAUCAAGAAAGACUACAUCAAGAUCUGCGGUCAGUUCAAAGGAUGUUUUGCAUUGGACUGUUUUUUUUUUGGCUUUGACCCUUGCUUGCCCCUGACCUCACUCUUGGACUGCCCUGUUGGAUUUUCAGUUUAUUUAAUUUAAAAAAAAAAUUUUGGUUCUGGGUAGAUGCUAAUAAAUAUUUAAUUGUAAUUAUUUAAU